rnacentral:rRNA from 1 species
UUGUCCUACGGGAGGCAGCAGUGGGGAAUAUUGCACAAUGGGGGAAACCCUGAUGCAGCGACGCCGCGUGAGUGAAGAAGUAUUUCGGUAUGUAAAGCUCUGUCAGCAGGGAAGAAAAUGACGGUACCUGACCAAGAAGCCCCGGCUAACUACGUGCCAGCAGCCGCGGUAAUACGUAUGGGGCAAGCGUUAUCCGGAUUUACUGGGUGUAAAGGGAGCGUAGGCGGCAGGGCAAGCCUGAUGUGAAAGCCCGGGGCUCAACCCCGGGACUGCAUUGGGAACUGCCCCGCUCGAGUGCCGGAGGG